UACGUAGGGUGCAAGCGUUGUCCGGAAUUAUUGGGCGUAAAGAGCUCGUAGGCGGUCUGUCGCGUCUGCUGUGAAAACUCGGGGCUUAACCCCGGGCCUGCAGUGGGUACGGGCAGACUAGAGUGCGGUAGGGGAGACUGGAAUUCCUGGUGGUAGCGGUGAAAUGCGCAGAUAUCAGGAGGAACACCGGUGGCGAAGGCAGGUCUCUGGGCCACUACUGACGCUGAGAAGCGAAAGCAUGGGGAGCGAACAGG
rnacentral:rRNA from 1 species